rnacentral:lncRNA from 1 species
CAGUAUGAUGAGUAUAACUGAAGCACAUAUUGCUGAAUGCUACAGAGAAAAUUACAUGGAGAAUAACACUAAUGGACAUGUAAACACACAUCGAUAAAUACAAUACAAUUAGCCCUCCAGAAUUGAUGGAAAGAACACAGCAGAGGAGCUUUUAUGUAUACAUGAAGCUAUUCUCAUUCUGUAUAUUAGAAUCCAACUCCUUGGCAAAAACUAAACAGCCUCCAAAAAGCCUGCUGGAUUGGCUCUGUCCAUUCCUCAUACUAUGACAAACAACUGUGGAGCGUCUGUAGGGAAAAGGGCAUGGGGGCACUGCAGGAAACUCUGCAAGGGCUCUGCAUUUCAUCUGGAGAACAAUGGACUGGAAGACUACAUAAUCUAUCCCCUUCACAUCAACACACAAGCACUGAUAUUUCUCUGAUAUUUGCUGCUACAACCUCCCCAGA